rnacentral:rRNA from 1 species
AUACGUAGGGGGCGAGCGUUGUCCGGAAUGAUUGGGCGUAAAGGGCGCGUAGGCGGCCCGGUAAGUCUGGAGUGAAAGUCCUGUUUUUAAGAUGGGAAUUGCUUUGGAUACUGUCGGGCUUGAGUGCAGGAGAGGUAAGUGGAAUUCCCAGUGUAGCGGUGAAAUGCGUAGAGAUUGGGAGGAACACCAGUGGCGAAGGCGACUUACUGGACUGUAACUGACGCUGAGGCGCGAAAGUGUGGGGAGCAAACAGGAUUAGAUACCCUGGUAGUCCACACUGUAAACGAUGAAUGCUAGGUGUUGCGGGUAUCGACCCCUGCAGUGCCGGAGUCAACACAAUAAGCAUUCCGCCUGGGGAGUACGGCCGCAAGGUUGAAACUCAAAGGAAUUGACGGGG